CAGAAUGUCAAUUUACCACAAUAAUUACACAAUACAAAACUACAACAUUACUUACAAAAGGCUAUAACAGUUGCUAGCUGUUAUAAUAGAUUACUUACACGGCUCCAGCCUGUUUGGCUGGAGCUAUACACACAGCUACAUGUUCAAUCAAUGCAAGCAAAGGAAAAAGGAGGCUCAAAAUCCUUCUACUAUUUGGUUUUAUCCAGUAAGUAGGCUGGCCUGUGAUGUCACUGCCAGAAGCACAUGAGUUAGCACACUGACCCCUAGUGGUGCCUCUAAAGCAUUAAGCUCAUUAUGCUUUUUUAUGACAAAAAGUCAUUAAUUAAUAAAUACCAUUACAAACCACCCUUUGACUUAUGUCAUAAAACAAACAUUAUAAACCCGUACAUCUUGAAUCUACCAUAUUUUAACAGUACCUGCCCUACAACAAAACCCACCUUUUGAAGAAUGAUACCCAUUUACCCGUAAAGUUAUGACACUUUAUUGCUUAUUCAAUUUUUUUUUAUUUUUUUUUUUCAUUGAGCACAUGCAUCACCAGUUGGGAAACCUUGGCCUAAAAUAAGCACAUACCCACCCUUAUAAUAACCACUGAGCACAUGCAUUAGCAGUUGGGAAACCUUGGCCUUAAAUAGGCAAAUACCCACCCUUGUAAUAAUAGACAACUCAAACCAUGUUUUAUUAGAUUAACCAAUGAUAUUGUGUUCAUGUGAGGAUGUGUUUUGGAGCUUAAUAUAGUAUUAGACACCACAAACUCAUAACACCUAUGAAUCAUGGCACAGACCGACUCGAUUUCUGUAGCCUCUGGCUGGUCUGUGUGCCUGGAAUUUUCACAAACAUUAGUUCUGGAAACUGGAUACUCUGUUCUUCGACAGUCUCAUAGAACAUACGCAUGGAGACAGGGAUGAAUGAAACAGUUCAUGAUCAAGGACUUUUGUGUGUUUGUGGUCACAUUGUUUUGUUUCUUCUUUCUUUAUACCAUUAACCACCUUGACGUAACAGUGUCCUGCUCCUGAUGCAUUUGUUCCGACUUUCACCACUCUUAGCUGCAAUAUUUUUUCUCCUUACAGCAACAGUUGAGCAUAGUGUCCAGUGCUUCUUCUUCUUCAGCUUAAAAUAUCCUUGCUUGAA